rnacentral:rRNA from 1 species
AGUGAACGCUGGCGGUAGGCCUAACACAUGCAAGUCGAACGGCAGCACAGUAAGAGCUUGCUCUUACGGGUGGCGAGUGGCGGACGGGUGAGGAAUACAUCGGAAUCUACUUUUUCGUGGGGGAUAACGUAGGGAAACUUACGCUAAUACCGCAUACGACCUACGGGUGAAAGCAGGGGAUCUUCGGACCUUGCGCGAUUGAAUGAGCCGAUGUCGGAUUAGCUAGUUGGCGGGGUAAAGGCCCACCAAGGCGACGAUCCGUAGCUGGUCUGAGAGGAUGGCUCCCCCACCGGGAAUCGGACACACGUCCCGGCCCCUGAGGGGGGGCGCCGGUGGGAAUUGUGGGAAAAGGGGCGCAACCCUGCCCCACCCUCCCCGGGGGGGGGAAGAAGGCCUUCGGGUUGUAAGCCCUUUUUGUGGGAAAAAAAAGGCAGCGGGUUAACCCCCCGCUGUUCGGCCGUACCCAAAAAAAAAGCCCCGGCCAACCUUGGU